AGAGUUUGAUCAUGGCUCAGAACGAACGCUGGCGGCGUGCUUAACACAUGCAAGUCGCGUGCGCAGUUUCCGUAGCAAUACGGGGAUGGGCGCACGGCGCACGGGUGCGUAACACGUGGGCAAUCUGCCCUCCGAUGGGGAAUACCCCCGCGAAAGCGGGACUAAUUCCGCAUAACAUUCCUUGGAUUAACUUUCGAGGAUUCAAAGCAGCAAUGCGUCGGAGGAGGAGCCCGCGCCCGAUUAGCUAGUUGGUGAGGUAACGGCUCACCAAGGCAAUGAUCGGUAGCUGGUCUGAGAGGAUGGCCAGCCACACUGGAACUGAGACACGGUCCAGACUCCUACGGGAGGCAGCAGUGGGGAAUCUUGCACAAUGGGCGAAAGCCUGAUGCAGCGACGCCGCGUGGGGGAUGAAGCUUUUCGGAGUGUAAACCCCUUUCGACUGGGACGAAUGCCUCGCAAGAGGAGUGACGGUACCAGUAUAAGAAGCCCCGGCUAACUACGUGCCAGCAGCCGCGGUAAGACGUAGGGGGCCAGCGUUGUUCGGAAUUACUGGGUGUAAAGGGUUCGUAGGCGGUGUGGCAAGUCGGGAGUGAAAUCUCUGGGCUCAACCCAGAGACUGCUUCCGAAACUGCUGUGCUUGAGUGUGAGAGAGGCUCGUGGAAUUGCAGGUGUAGCGGUGAAAUGCGUAGAUAUCUGCAGGAACACCCGUGGCGAAAGCGGCGAGCUGGAUCACUACUGACGCUGAGGAACGAAAGCUAGGGGAGCAAACAGGAUUAGAUACCCUGGUAGUCC
rnacentral:rRNA from 1 species